rnacentral:tRNA from 1 species
GGGCGGAUGUAGCCAAGG